GUGCUCACUUCGGCAGCUCAUAUACUAAAAUUGGAAUGAUACAGAGAAGAUUAGCAUGGCCCCUUCGCAAGGAUGACAUGCAAAUUCGUGAAGCGCUCCAUAUUUUU
rnacentral:snRNA from 1 species